UACGAAGGGGGCUAGCGUUGCUCGGAAUCACUGGGCGUAAAGCGCACGUAGGCGGAUCUUUAAGUCAGGGGUGAAAUCCCAAGGCUCAACCUUGGAACUGCCUUUGAUACUGGGGAUCUCGAGUCCGGAAGAGGUUGGUGGAAUUGCGAGUGUAGAGGUGAAAUUCGUAGAUAUUCGCAAGAACACCAGUGGCGAAGGCGGCUUACUGGUCCGGUUCUGACGCUGAGGCGCGAAAGCGUGGGGAGCAAACGGG
rnacentral:rRNA from 1 species